AAUCAACGCUGGCGGCGUGCCUCAGACAUGCAAGUCGAACGCGAAAGUCCCCUUCGGGGGGCGAGUAGAGUGGCGCACGGGUGAGUAACACGUAGGUAAUCUACCCCCGAGUGGGGAAUAACUCAGGGAAACUUGAGCUAAUACCGCAUAAUGCAGCGGCACCACAUGGUGACAGUUGUUAAAGCAUUUAUGCGCUUGGGGAGGAGCCUGCGGCAGAUUAGCUAGUUGGUAAGGUAAUGGCUUACCAAGGCUACGAUCUGUAACCGGCCUGAGAGGGCGGACGGUCACACUGACACUGAAUAACGGGUCAGACUCCUACGGGAGGCAGCAGUCGGGAAUUUUGGGCAAUGGGCGAAAGCCUGACCCAGCAACGCCGCGUGAAGGAUGAAAUCUUUCGGGAUGUAAACUUCGGAAGAAUAGGAAGAA
rnacentral:rRNA from 1 species